rnacentral:rRNA from 1 species
GAUUAACGCUAGCGGCAGGCCUAAUACAUGCAAGUCGAGGGAGAAGUUAAAGCUUGCUUUAAUGGAAACCGGCGCACGGGUGCGUAACACGUAUGCAACCUACCUUUAACUGGGGAAUAGCCUUCCGAAAGGAAGAUUAAUACCGCAUAAUAUUACGAAGAGGCAUCUCUUUGUAAUAAAACCUCCGGGGGUUAAAGAUGGGCAUGCGUCCGAUUAGUUUGUUGGUGAGGUAACGGCUCACCAAGACUACGAUCGGUAGGGGGUCUGAGAGGAUGAUCCCCCACACUGGUACUGAGACACGGACCAGACUCCUACGGGAGGCAGCAGUAAGGAAUAUUGGACAAUGGGCGCAAGCCUGAUCCAGCCAUGCCGCGUGCAGGAUGACGGCCCUAUGGGUUGUAAACUGCUUUUAUAUAGGAAGAAACCCCCCGACGUGUCGGGGGUUGACGGUACUAUAAGAAUAAGGGUCGGCUAACUCCG